rnacentral:rRNA from 1 species
AAAUUGAAGAGUUUGAUCAUGGCUCAGAUUGAACGCUGGCGGCAGGCCUAACACAUGCAAGUCGAACGGUAACAGGAAACAGCUUGCUGUUUCGCUGACGAGUGGCGGACGGGUGAGUAAUGUCUGGGAAACUGCCUGAUGGAGGGGGAUAACUACUGGAAACGGUAGCUAAUACCGCAUAAUGUCGCAAGACUAAAGAGGGGGACCUUCGGGCCUCUUGCCAUCGGAUGUGCCCAGAUGGGAUUAGCUAGUAGGUGGGGUAACGGCUCACCUAGGCGACGAUCCCUAGCUGGUCUGAGAGGAUGACCAGCCACACUGGAACUGAGACACGGUCCAGACUCCUACGGGAGGCAGCAGUGGGGAAUAUUGCACAAUGGGCGCAAGCCUGAUGCAGCCAUGCCGCGUGUAUGAAGAAGG